rnacentral:rRNA from 1 species
UACGAAGGGGGCGAGCGUUGUUCGGAGUUACUGGGCGUAAAGGGCGCGUAGGCGGCGAUCCAAGUUAGGCGUGAAAGCCCCGGGCUCAUCCUGGGAAUAGCGCUUAAGACUGGGUUGCUCGAGUGCGGGAGAGGUGAGUGGAAUUCCCAGUGUAGAGGUGAAAUUCGUAGAUAUUGGGAAGAACACCAGUGGCGAAGGCGGCUCACUGGCCCGCAACUGACGCCGAGGCGCGAAAGCGUGGGGAGCAAACAGG